CACGUAGGGGGGCAAGCGUUGUCCGGAUUCAUUGGGCGUAAAGAGCUCGUAGGCGGCUCAGUAAGUCGGGUGUGAAACCCUCAGGCUCAACCUGGGGACGCCACUCGAUACUGCUGUGGCUAGAGUCCAGUAGAGGAGUGUGGAAUUCCCGGUGUAGCGGUGAAAUGCGCAGAUAUCGGGAGGAACACCAACGGCGAAGGCAGCACUCUGGGCUGGAACGUGACGCUGAGGAGCGAAAAGCGUGGGUAGCAAA
rnacentral:rRNA from 1 species